GUAUACAAUUUUUCCCAAAUGAUUUUGAGCUUAGCCAUAUGAUUUCAUUUGGCUAAUGGAAUUUUCAUGGCCAUAAUGUAAGCAGAAGUCGUAAAUAUGUUUAUGUGGUUUGGCUUUGCUUUCAUGUUCUGGUGAUUCUCCAUAAGAGGAGCAUGCUCUCUGCAGCUGCUGCUCCUCAGCGUGGACCACAGAAAGAAUCCAAGUGGAAAGGAACCAAACCCAAACCACAGCCCAGGCAACCUGUGACCCACAGCCUGAAGCAGACACCCAGCAAAUGCAGGCUAGACCAGCCAGUUGUCCUGCAGACUCAUAAACGGAUCAAACCCACGACUGCCUGCUUGCAACGCAGGCGCUUAUGCCAAUGAGCUAAAUCCCCAGCCCUGCUGUAUUGACUUUAAAGUGGACACCAUGGACUUGCUGGUCAGAUCUGCCUAUGAUAUAUGUGAAGGGAAUAAUUUAUUAUGACUGUACGUCAAAGACAAGAUCUAACAGGAAUUUGGUGAGCUGAUACAAGAGCCCUGAACUAACAUAGCCAAGUUUCAGAGAGACUCCCUCCUUCUGCCACCCAUCAAUUCUUUCCUCUGCCCACUACCUGUCUGCUGCCUCCUGUCACCCCUUCCUGAGGUCUCCUCUCCUGUUGUCACACCUUCUUUUCCCCACGCCCACCAUCUGGAAGUCAGCAUCACACUGCAGGAGCUUCUCCACUCACAUCUGUUGCAGAGCCAGAAGGAACACAGACACAGCUGCAACACUGCUGGAUGUCCAAGACGGUGACAUCAGGUCGCAGAGAGACAUGAAAGAACUUCAAAGCUGGCAUACUGAGAUGUUCAUUUUAGAAAUAUCAUUCUGGCUGAAGUUGAGAGAACAGAUGGAAAAGAGGUACACAAUAUCAUUUUUUCAAAUUAAGAAUAUGGAUAGCAUGAAAUCCAGGAAAGAGUACUUUUAAGGAGAAUAAAAAUGGAAAAAAUCAGUAUAUGCAGUAUAGGAAGAUCUUGGGUGAAUACAGCAAUGGUAAUCUCAAUGGCUAUGGGCACAGAAGCCGCAGUGGAGCGGGGUAAAGAGCAAAUGGAAGGUAAGAAAAUAGAGGCUGUAUGUAUGAACAAGUUUUGCAGGAAACUUAAUUAGUAACAGAAAGAGCAAGGAGGCAUAUGGGAUUGCUGAGGUGGUUUCCAACCUUGGCAGCAUGCUGAAUCAUGUGGGCAGCUUUAACGUGUACACCUGGAUCUACCCGCAGAUAUUCUGAGGUAGGUGGUUUGGAGCACAGUUUGGGCAAGGAGAUUUCUGUACCUUCUUAUGUACUAAAGAUUGAAUCUACUAGACUAGAGUGUGUCUUUGAGCAGGUGGAGAAAAUUGGGAUUUUCCUGAUGAUAAGAAACGCUACAGCGAAGGAAAAGUUGAAGAUAAGGAUUGAAGGACAUAAGAAACAAGCUCCUUCAGCUGGGAAAGGGGCUGAGCCAUGGGAGCAGGGGUAAAUAUUAGACUUAAGGCUUUCCCCUUCUGACAUGGUUAGGAUGCAGGUGAACAUGAUUUCAUGGCAAAGGUGAGAAAGAAGAUAAAUAGUUGAAGUAGUUAUCAGCUAAUGGCUUUUUCUUUAUUAGUCAAGUUUCUUUAUUAAGUAAGGCUCUCUUCUGAGAAUGAGGGAGAAUGUGGCAUAGUAAAGAGGAAGAGUAUAAAAGUGAUAGCCAACAGCCUUGGAAAACGAUCCGAGAUGCCAUCCCUUCCUGCCUGAACUACUAUAAUUGCCUCACACUUGAUGUCCCACUUGAGGCCACCAAGCCUCACGCAAUUAUAGACUCGACCAAAUCUAGCAUUUGUGAUUGGUUCAUUGUCUAGUGCUUGGAUUGGUGGUGUAAGUGCUACACCUGCCUAGGGGUGGAGCCAGGAAACAAUGUCAUGGUGGGAAGAAGGUGUGUCUGUCUUGCAGGUCUGUGCCUUGCUGUUUGCAGUGGCUAUGAAUGGCUGCUUCACCAUACCAUGCUCUCUUGAAGCCAACUUGAGUAUGGACUGAAACCUCCAAGAAAUAAACUAAUUCCAGCUGAUUGUAUCUCCUUUCCCAUUAUGGUCGACUUGGCCAUCAUCAAAGGCAAAAGGAUUGAGUUUGUAACAAUGAGGUCAGUGAACAGCCAGCUACAGUGAGAUGACAUCUUCAUAGAUGACCACGUCACUAGGCCGGCACUGCAUUUCUCCUGGAGUUCUGGGGUGGUGGCUUCUCCCAUUCCCUCCAUCAGAAUCACUACCGGUAUUGAGACGCUGGGAAAUUAUCUUUUUCCCUCUCAGAAGACUCACUACUCAAUCUUUUUCUGGGAGAUUUCUUUAUUCGUGAUAGUUGUAUGCUGGCCUGAUCAACAUACUGUAAUCUUCUCAGAUUAAAUACUUAUUUCCUUACAGAAAUCCUUGGGCAUUUGCUCUGCCACUAUAAAUGCAAAUACACAGUAUAACUAUCACUCCUACCUACUUAGCAUGCAAUACACAAAUAGCACACUAGAUGGCAACAAAUGUCAAGGAACUAAAGAACAAAUUAUUUCCUAGCUCAGUAAUAAAAGUAGUAGUUGAAUUUCAAAUUAAAGUAUCAAUACCCUGAUGUUUUAAUAUUCUCUGAAAACAAAAUUCACCUGUUUUAACACAUCUAAAUAAAAACUACUAGCCUUGUAUUUUAUUUUGUAAA